AAACAAUGAUGAACACAUUAUCCCGAAUCUGAGCCUUUUUGAUGAUAUCACACUACGGAUCUGACUGCUGAGUU